rnacentral:rRNA from 1 species
UACGAAGGGGGCGAGCGUUGUCCGGAAUUAUUGGGCGUAAAGAGCUUGUAGGCGGUUUGUCGCGUCUGCUGUGAAAAUCCGGGGCUCAACCCCGGACUUGCAGUGGGUACGGGCAGACUAGAGUGUGGUAGGGGAGACUGGAAUUCCGUGGUGUAGCGGUGAAAUGCGCAGAUAUCAGGAGGAACACCGAUGGCGAAGGCAGGUCUCUGGGCCACUACUGACGCUGAGAAGCGAAAGCAUGGGGAGCGAACAGG